GAGAAGCUUAAAGGAAAAGCCAGUGUUUGGCUUCCUGAAGGGAGAAAGAUUUAACAUGACAGGGUGUGAAUCCGAGGGAACGCUGGCUAGUAAUAAAACUAGGGGCCUGCAGGAAGGAAUCUUGGAAGAUUUUGAAGUUGCCCGGGACUCCCAGGUUGAAGAUCAUGAGCAUGCCCUGAUGAGCCAAGGCAUGCAACCACAGGGGAACCUAAGUGCUUGGACUGAGGAGUGGGGACUGAAAUAAGAAGCGGACACUGCAGGGCAGGAUCAGGAUCCAAUCAGAUCGAGCCCUGGCAUCACCUCAUGGCAGGAUCUAGUCAGAUCGUGGCUUUUGACAUCACUUCAUUGUGAAAUCCAAUCAGAUCACACCUUAUUACCCUAUCCUUAUAAAACCGGACCUAGCCCCCAGCUCGAGGAGGCACUGCUUUGGGAGUUAUCCCAGGUGUUC
rnacentral:lncRNA from 1 species